CUUUUGAUAUUUGAAUGAGUUUCAUUUGCCCCCAACUAAACUGAAAAUGACUGAACCCGUAAACCCGGUCAUUUAUUUCAGAGGAACUCUCGCCCGUGAGCUGUGUUCUGAAUCAUGGCAUAGAGAGAGGUCUGUUUUUAACUGUGCAUGUUGUGAGAUGAUGUUUUCUCAAGAAAGCUGUGUUUGCCACUGAGGACACUUCUCUUAACAAGAGAAAGAAGAGGUUCCGGGGACGUGGUUGUUCUUUUAAGCUGAUUCACAGGAACGAUGCAAUGCCUGCUUUUCACUCAAUUAAAGAAAUCAAGGAAUUCA